GAAAAACGACUCCUGGGGAGAGUUAGAUGGGAUUUGGGGCAGGAAUCGUUCCCUGGAGGGUGGGGAUGGAGUUGCCACAGCAGCUGUGGCUGCCCCUGGGUCCCUGGCAGUGCCCAAGGCCAGGCUGGGCACUGGGACAGUGGAAGUGUCCCUGCCAGGGCGGGGGUGGCACUGGGUGGGAUUUAAGGUCCCUUCCCACCCAAACCAUUCAGGGAUUCUGAGAAGUCUUUGUGCACCAGGUACAUGCACAUCAAGGGAUGGGCAAUAAAUCCCACCACACCUGUAAAGAGCCAUGGGAUGUACAGGACACACGGGGUUUAUUCACUCACUCAUUAAACAUCUACCCCAGAGCAGCCCUGCAGUACAUCCUUCCUCCAGACUGACACACAAGAUUAGCUCAGAUUGCCUCUGUCUAUUGUUUUUAAGCAAAAAAAAAAAAACAACAAGAUUAGCUCAGAUUGCCUCUGUCUAUUGAUUUUAAGCAAAAAAAAAAAAACAACAAAGAAAAACAAAAAACCAACAACAAAACAAACCUUUUAUUUCAUAUCAUUGCAGUAAAAUAAUUGGAUUAAUUAGUUAAACCUUUCCAGCUGCAGAGAGGAGGAGACGUGUGACUUUUGAUUGCAUGCUCUCAGGACAGUCUGAGCUCUGAGCAGAGGCUCCUCAGAGAUUGUUCUUUUGAUCUGGGUGCAGAGCUCUGUGCUCACGUCACCCGGAGCAAGUCUCCGUAGCAAGGAGCUGUGCUGGCUCAGAUCCCCUCUGCAGGCUGCACAGCAAGGCAGAUGAUCUAAAUUGGAGGGAAUGGGAUCCUUGCUGAAGUUGGUAAAUCAGGCAGCCAUACCUUCUUCCCCAGCCCAGGCAGAUUUUGGCAUCCCCUUGCAGCAGGGGAGGGUGAGGGGUGUCCUGCCCCAGCAGUGGAUGCUUCUCCUUGUGCAGAAUCCAGGAGAAUUGACAUUGAACAUCGUGCCUGGCAUUAAAGGGACACUAACUGUGCUCCUGGAGGUCUCACCUGGGAACAGAAAGUUUAAAUUGGCUGUUCCAUUAUCCAGCCCUUGCACAAUGCACCUCAGAGAUGGGAGAAGAGACAGAGUCUGCCCUCAAAGCAGUGUGGAACACACCAGGUGCUCCCCCCUGACACCCUGCCAGGUUAGGAACGUGGCUGCUGUCAGAAACCUUUGGAAAUGGUUCAGAAAUACUGGGAAACAACUAUUUGUGUUUUUCCAGCUGAAGAAAAUCAGUUGUAUGUGAAAGAAAAUGAUCCUUCUCCCAGAUCUAAGUUCGGAAAGGAAAAAAAAAAAUGCAGCUCCUCUCACUUAGCCCCCUUUGGGACAGAAGCCGCAGAUGAAGAGCAAGCAAUCAACAUGUCAGCCCCUUUGGGACAGAAGCCACAGAUGAAGAGCGAGCAAUCAACAUGUCAGGAUAAAAUUAGAUUGCCACGGAGUACAAGGCUUGAUCCAGUAUCUGGAUGGGAUUUGGGUUUCAGCUCUGCAUAUCACAAUAAAACAAUCCUUGCUGAAGGUGCUCGCUCAGAGCAGCUCCUGUCACAUCUGGGAGAAGCUGGGGAAGGGCCAGGCUGAGAUUCCCUUCCUCAAUUCCACGUUCUCAGGGUUUAACUGUGGUUCUGAAGGAGGAAUGGCUGCAGGAGCCCCUCUCAGGGUGGUUUUGUUGCCAUGUCUGGCUCAGGGCUGGGGGGACAUUUCCUGCACAGAUCCCCCCAGAUCCCCUUCCCACGCCCUGCUUCCACUGGGGUGUCACUCUGAAGGGAGAAAAUGGAUUUAUUUGGGAGAACUGAGAUGGGAGAUGGGUCUGGCAGUGUCCCUGACACAAUCCAGUGGCCAGAGCUGGUCCAAAGCAAAGCCCAGGGCUGUGUCCUGAGCCAGGACCUUCACUUUGCAGCCCAGCCCUGCCUGGUGGCACAGCCACAGCCCUCAGGGCCAGGGGCUGCACUGCAGCUUGCACAGAAAGCACAGGCGUUUUGGCACCGUUUUUACAACAAAAUGCCCUAAUAAUACCAAGAAAUUAUCAUAUUUGUUUCCAUUUAAUUGGAAAAAAAUAAGGAAAAUAUUUUAAAAUAUUCAUUCCAAUGUGUUUGGUUUGGGUCAGACAAAGUGUUUUGGUUCCCUUGAAGGACCCAACAGAAGCCAGGAGCCAGCAAGUUGGGAAAUGUGAGCUCUGGUCCCACAGCCACCCUGUCCUGCUGCAUUUCAUAAAAACCUUUUUCUAACUCGAGAGUUGUCUCCCAGAGGGGCUCACGAGCAUGGCUGAGGUUUGGGUGGAAUUUUGGGGGGUUCCCCCAAAGAGGCAGUUCCCCUCUCUGACCCCCAGGCACUGCAGUUUGUCCCACAGUGAAUCCUGAGCCAUGCCCUGCUGAGGGCAGUCCUAGAUUUGGACUAAUUGAGGAUGAAAUCCACUUUCUCUGGGUGUGGAAGCACUGACAGACACACAGAGAUGUUUGAGACCCUUGUGGCUCAGCAGUGUAAGGGAUCUCAGCUGGCCCUGC
rnacentral:lncRNA from 1 species